GCCCGGUUAGCUCAGUUGGAAGAGCAUCAGACUAUUAAUCGGAAGGACCAGGGUUCAAGUCCCUGUUCUGGCA